rnacentral:misc_RNA from 1 species
ACUCAGCGAGUGAGCGAGAUUUUUAUUUGAAAUGUAUUCCGCGAUUAGUCAAUGAUAUUACGUGAUGCAGUAGCGCGUGGAUUCUGAAAAAACCUUGGAUAACUGUUCCAAAGUGAGAUAUAGAAGAAAAAGAAGCUGUAUUCUUAGGCUUCCACAUUAAUAACUCCGAAUAAACUACCAACCAAAGAAAUAUUGGAAAGUUAUUGAUCUACAAACUCAAUUUCCGACCAUGUUUCUUAAACUCACCCUAAUUCUCGCCACUUUCUUCAUAUGCCGAACGACACUUAAUGCACAAAUUACCAAUGUCCGUGCAGUUGAUUAUUCGGCUGAGAAAUUCCGCACAGAAGUAGCAAAAAAAGAUCACUUCGUUAUGUUUUACACCUCGUGGUGCAUAUAUUCUCUGGAACUAAUGCCGACGUGGGAUCAACUGGCUUCAACACUCAACGGCAGUCAAAUUCAAAUUGCCAAAAUCGACUGUGAUCGAUAUGGUAGACUUUGCUGGCAGAACAGCGUCACGGGAUAUCCAACCCUAAAGUUCUUUAAAGCUGGUCAAUGGCAGGGUGUCAAGUACAUGGGAAAUCGGAGGUUGCACGACAUGAGGAAUUAUAUCGAUGAGCAAGGGGAAUUAAGCAGCCGCGAAUACAUCUUUGUUGGAAUGUGAUAAAUCAAACGUUGAAAUUGUUUAAUUAUGGUAUAAUCAACGUACAAAACAUUACCGUAUCACGUGAGAUGAUGUUGACCAACUGCCAACAAGUAGAGUAUAGGCCAUAUACAGACACGACGCGCAGGUCAACCAAUCAUCCAUCGGUCUGCCUUUUCGUCCCAGAGUUUACUUUGGAAAUUUCAAACUCUACGUUCAUACAGUUUCAAACACUGUGCAACCGACACGGCGAACAUAUCGUUGUAGGAACUCUUAAUCUCGAAUAAUUAGUGCAUACUGUGUAUUCUCAUGAAAAUUAUUUACUGUCAGCAUGAAACUAUACUAUAGCAAACUAUUUAAAAGAAAAAACUAUCCAAAGCCGAAUAGUUUAAUUGAAGUACCAGUCGAUAUACCAUUUAAAUUAUACUGCAUGAUGUAAGAAUAAAGUACGAAGGUAUCACGAA